UUUGAGGGGAAUGAAGCCUGGUCCGAAGCAUUAUUCAGAGACUUUCUUCUAUUCAGAACCUUACUCUGAAGCAGCCUCGAGCCAGCCAACAUUCCCCUCAAU
rnacentral:pre_miRNA from 1 species